UAAACCAAAGCGGGUGAUUAAUUAUUUG
rnacentral:piRNA from 1 species